rnacentral:rRNA from 1 species
UACGAAGGGGGCUAGCGUUGCUCGGAAUUACUGGGCGUAAAGGGCGCGUAGGCGGACAGUUAAGUCAGAGGUGAAAGCCCAGGGCUCAACCCUGGAAUAGCCUUUGAUACUGGCUGUCUUGAGUGCGGGAGAGGUGUGUGGAACUCCGAGUGUAGAGGUGAAAUUCGUAGAUAUUCGCAAGAGCACCAGUGGCGAAGGCGGCUCACUGGCCCGAUACUGACGCUGAGGUGCGAAAGCGUGGGGAGCAAACAGG